CAGCCGCCGCGGGAACACAGAGGGUGCGAGCGUUAAUCGGAUUUACUGGGCGUAAAGCGUGCGUAGGCGGCUUCUUAAGUCGGAUGUGAAAUCCCUGAGCUUAACUUAGGAAUUGCAUUCGAUACUGGGAAGCUAGAGUAUGGGAGAGGAUGGUAGAAUUCCAGGUGUAGCGGUGAAAUGCGUAGAGAUCUGGAGGAAUACCGAUGGCGAAGGCAGCCAUCUGGCCUAAUACUGACGCUGAGGUACGAAAGCAUGGGGAGCAAACAGGAUUAGAUACCCGGGUAGUCCCUGUCUCUUAUAC
rnacentral:rRNA from 1 species